AGAGUUUGAUCCUGGCUCAGGAUGAACGCUGGCGGCGUGCCUAAUACAUGCAAGUCGAGCGAACGGACGAGAAGCUUGCUUCUCUGAUGUUAGCGGCGGACGGGUGAGUAACACGUGGAUAACCUACCUAUAAGACUGGGAUAACUUCGGGAAACCGGAGCUAAUACCGGAUAAUAUUUUGAACCGCAUGGUUCAAAAGUGAAAGACGGUCUUGCUGUCACUUAUAGAUGGAUCCGCGCUGCAUUAGCUAGUUGGUAAGGUAACGGCUUACCAAGGCAACGAUGCAUAGCCGACCUGAGAGGGUGAUCGGCCACACUGGAACUGAGACACGGUCCAGACUCCUACGGGAGGCAGCAGUAGGGAAUCUUCCGCAAUGGGCGAAAGCCUGACGGAGCAACGCCGCGUGAGUGAUGAAGGUCUUCGGAUCGUAAAACUCUGUUAUUAGGGAAGAACAUAUGUGUAAGUAACUGUGCACAUCUUGACGGUACCUAAUCAGAAAGCCACGGCUAACUACGUGCCAGCAGCCGCGGUAAUACGUAGGUGGCAAGCGUUAUCCGGAAUUAUUGGGCGUAAAGCGCGCGUAGGCGGUUUUUUAAGUCUGAUGUGAAAGCCCACGGCUCAACCGUGGAGGGUCAUUGGAAACUGGAAAACUUGAGUGCAGAAGAGGAAAGUGGAAUUCCAUGUGUAGCGGUGAAAUGCGCAGAGAUAUGGAGGAACACCAGUGGCGAAGGCGACUUUCUGGUCUGUAACUGACGCUGAUGUGCGAAAGCGUGGGGAUCAAACAGGAUUAGAUACCCUGGUAGUCCACGCCGUAAACGAUGAGUGCUAAGUGUUAGGGGGUUUCCGCCCCUUAGUGCUGCAGCUAACGCAUUAAGCACUCCGCCUGGGGAGUACGACCGCAAGGUUGAAACUCAAAGGAAUUGACGGGGACCCGCACAAGCGGUGGAGCAUGUGGUUUAAUUCGAAGCAACGCGAAGAACCUUACCAAAUCUUGACAUCCUUUGACAACUCUAGAGAUAGAGCCUUCCCCUUCGGGGGACAAAGUGACAGGUGGUGCAUGGUUGUCGUCAGCUCGUGUCGUGAGAUGUUGGGUUAAGUCCCGCAACGAGCGCAACCCUUAAGCUUAGUUGCCAUCAUUAAGUUGGGCACUCUAAGUUGACUGCCGGUGACAAACCGGAGGAAGGUGGGGAUGACGUCAAAUCAUCAUGCCCCUUAUGAUUUGGGCUACACACGUGCUACAAUGGACAAUACAAAGGGCAGCGAAACCGCGAGGUCAAGCAAAUCCCAUAAAGUUGUUCUCAGUUCGGAUUGUAGUCUGCAACUCGACUACAUGAAGCUGGAAUCGCUAGUAAUCGUAGAUCAGCAUGCUACGGUGAAUACGUUCCCGGGUCUUGUACACACCGCCCGUCACACCACGAGAGUUUGUAACACCCGAAGCCGGUGGAGUAACCUUUUAGGAGCUAGUCGUCGAAGGUGGGACAAAUGAUUGGGGUGAAGUCGUAACAAGGUAGCCGUAUCGGAAGGUGCGGCUGGAUCACCU
rnacentral:rRNA from 1 species